ACGGAAGGCAGCAGUGGGGAAUAUUGCACAAUGGAGGAAACUCUGAUGCAGCGACGCCGCGUGAGUGAUGAAGUAUUUCGGUACGUAAAGCUCUAUCAGCAGGGAAGAUAAUGACGGUACCUGACUAAGAAGUCCCGGCUAACUACGUGCCAGCAGCCGCGGUAAUACGUAGGGGACAAGCGUUAUCCGGAUUUACUGGGUGUAAAGGGAGCGUAGGUGGUUUGGCAAGCCAGAAGUGAAAACCCGGGGCUCAACUCCGCGGAUUGCUUUUGGAACUGUUGAACUAGAGUGCAGGAGGGGUAAGUGGAAUUCCCAGUGUAGCGGUGAAAUGCGUAGAUAUUGGGAGGAACACCAGUGGCGAAGGCGACUUACUGGACUGAAACUGACACUGAGGCUCGAAGGCGUGGGGAGCAAACAGGAUUAGAUACCCUGGUA
rnacentral:rRNA from 1 species